CUCACUUGUCUGCAUAUUAUACAACAUUUUCCUUCGUACAACAAACCCAAAAAAUGUCUUCAGACAAAAAUUACACGCCCACAACGAACUCCAAAGGCGAAUUCGUUCGGAAAGAUUCACAAUUUCGUGACCGCAUCACUGCAGAUGGUUCGAGCGGAUUCAAAGCGGAAGCUAAUCGUUAUCAUCUAUAUGUGAGUCUCGCUUGUCCAUGGGCUCACAGAACUUUGAUAGUUCGCAAGCUGAAAGGCCUUGAGAAAGUCGUAAGUUUAAACGUUGUGGAUUGGAUUUUGGGGAAGGAAGGCUGGAAAUUCGACCCAGGUAUUUAGAAGUGAAAAAUGUAAACACAACUUUAUAUUGAUGACUGAUUCAGUAUUCACUAUUCCAAAACCGAAAGGGUUAUAGGAUUUAUAUAUUGAGAGAAUAAGAGUCACAGUAAGGAACGGUUAGGCUGAGUCACUGAGUGGCCUGCUACCAAGUGAUUUCAUGGGCUAGUUAUGGAAAUAUUUUCUCUGGAGCAGAAUAUGUUUAUAUACUUGGGAGAUUACUUCUCGAUCUACAUCCGAUCAUACAGCUUCUACAUGGCAUGACCUCUGAAUUUUUGUUGACCUCUGAAUUUUCUUGCCAACACUUUUUGUUGCUCACCAAUUGCAUUGGCAAGAUUUGUUUUUUGCUUUGCUUCACGCAAACAAAUUUGUCUGGUGGAAAAUGAUAUACAUCAUAAAAUACUCAAUUAACCAGCUUACCUAGUUCAUUGGCAUUGCAAAUAACCCUGACCUCCUGCAAAUUACACUCCAAUAGCUUUUCAACCUUUAUACACUUAGGAAAGCCAGGGGCAACACCAGACACUGUGAACAACUUUGGUCACCUGAGCGAGGUCUAUGCCCUUUCUGAUCCGGAGUACGAUGGUCGCUGGACCGUACCAGUUCUAUUUGAUAAAGUCCAGAAGAAGAUUGUCUGUAAUGAUUCUGCUGAAAUCAUACGCAUGUUGACGCCAGAAUUUAACGAAUUUUGUAAAACGGUGCAACAGAGGGAAUUAGACCUUUACCCUGAGGAACUGCGCAAAGAAAUCGAUGAGAUGAAUGAUUGGAUUUAUCCGUAAGUAUGAUCAUGUGCAAGAGGGGGGCGGCUACCCUAUAAGAGACACUCUAAUUCUGUCUUUGGUCUACUAAUUUGGAAAUCUGGUUAUUUCAGAGAAGAGUUUACUGAACAUGGUUCAAAUGAUCUAUUCUUUUCUAUGCUGAAGACUUGCAAUUUUUUUUGCCAAAUGGAAGUGUGAGAUGUUGACCACCACCAGUCCACCACCAUUAUCAUCACCAUUAUCAUGAUCACUACAUGAUCACCACCACUAUCACCAUCACCAUCAUGAUCAUCUCCAGCCUCCAGGGUCCACCAUCAUCAUCACUAUCAUCAUCACCAACAUCAUUACUAUUACCAGCACCAACAUCAUCACCAUCAUUACCAUCAUCAACAUCAUCAUCAUCACCACCACCAUCAUCACUAUCAUCAACAUAUCAUCAUCACCACCACCAUCAUCAUCAACAUGUCAUCAUCACCACCACCAUCAUCAUCAACAUCAUCAUCACCACCACCAUCAUCAUCAACAUAUCAUCAUCACCACCACCAUCAUCACCAUCACCAACAUCAUCACCACCACCAUCAUCAUCAUCACCACCAUCAUCAUCAACAUAUCAUCAUCACCACCACCAUCAUCACCAUCACCAACAUCAUCAUCAUCACCACCACCAUCAUCAACAUAUCAUCAUCACCACCACCAUCAUCACUAUCAUCAACAUAUCAUCAUCACCACCACCAUCAUUACCAUCACCACCACCUUCAUCAUCACUCCACCACCAUCAUCAUUAUCGUCACUACCAUCAUCAUCAUCACUACCAUCAUCAACAUCACUAUUCUCAACAUCACCAUCAUUAUCACCACCACCAUAACUACGACCAUAACCACAAAACCAUCAUGUUACUAUGUGUGUUACGAAGUGACUUUUUAUUUCUUAACAGCACAAUCAAUAAUGGUGUUUAUCGCUGUGGCUUUGCAUCAUCGCAAGAGGCUUAUGAUAGCGCUGUUGUAAUUCUCUUUGAGGCACUAGAAAAAGUAUGUUUAAUUAGCAUCUAGCAUAUUGUCAAGAAUCGUAACAAAACUUGACAGGGACAUGUUUAGGUUUUGAAAGGCUACGUUUACACUAUACGGAAUAGCUUUCCGUAGCGGCGCGAAAAAGAACCUAGCUAUCCGUUUGGGAAUGUACAACUUUCAGAAGCUGAGCAAAACAUCUCUCCGUUGGCGUUGCAAUAAUUCCUCUGAAGAUAGCGUUCCUAAAAGGUACAGAUAGGUGUCUUUUCACGUCGCUAUGGGAAGCUAUCCUGUACAGGGUACACGAACCCUUCACUGAAACAAAUUGAACAACGAAAGAUCGUCCUUACUGAAUCUCUACGGAAAACAGUCUAAAACUAAUUUUCUGGAUUAACCAUAAAGUGAUGGUCCUCGCUGGACCUCAAGGAAGAGCAGUAAAGAAUGGGGUAUUAUAGCGUUCACCUACAAUUAUUAUUUUGCGUCUCUUUUAUACUAGCUUGAGAAUAUUUUAUCAACACGAAGAUAUCUGGUUGGCAAUCGAUUCACAGAAGCUGACGUCCGUUUGUUCACGUCUUUGAUUCGAUUUGAUGUUGUUUAUCACGGCCAUUUUAAGGUGCAUAAAUCUUUGAAACUUUUUUCAUAAAGCUUGUAGUUGUAAUACUGUUCUUUAGCUUGCUGAUCGUCAGACUAGCAGUUUGGAGGUUACGGGUCCAAGUUCUCAACGCGAACUAUUUCAACAAGCAAAAACAACAAGUGAAUACUAAUACAGUAAAACUCUGCUAUCUCCCCAAGGGAAACAGAAACUUUCGGGGUUCUAGAUAACCGAAUCAGUGUUAAAUUACAAAAAAUGGUUAAUAAGUAUUAAUCGGCAUAACCACCAUCACCAUCAUCAUUAUCAUCACCAUCAUCAUCAUAAUCACCAUCAUCAUCAUCAUCACCAUCAUUAUCAUCAUCAUCAUCAUCACCAUCAUUAUCAUUAUCAUCACCAUCAUUAUCAUCACCAUCAUCAUCAUAAUCACCAUCAUCACCACCACCAUCAUCAUAGUCACCACUAUCAUCAUCACCAUCACCAUCAUCAUCAUCAUCACUACCAUCAUGUUAUCUGUACAUUCUUCUCCAGAAAUCUUGUUGAAUCUUUCAUUUUUACAUUCUUAGUGUAACAAGAAGAGAAUAAUCGACUAUCCAAAUAUUUGGGGCUAUACUCGAGAUAUUUAUCAAAUUCCCGGCGUUGCAGAGACAUGCAAUUUUGAACACAUCACAAAAUCUUACAUGGUAAGCUGGUGUCAUGAUAAACAGUGUUUUACAGUGAGAUGCAGUUUUUGUGAUUUUUAAAGAUUUUGCAAAGGUCUUGCAUAACUUUUUGAACGAACCUUUGACCAGCACACUAGACCAAUUUUAAUAUUCUUGACUAAGGUCCAUUUCCACUGAGGAAAAUUUUCCGCAGAAAAAGAAUUUUGUAAAAUGUGAUUGGCCGACACAAAUUUUCCGUCGGAAAAAAACUUUGAAGUUGAAAAUGUUCAACUUUUUUAUAAAGCAAUGAUAUUUUCGGAAGAUUUUCUGUCCGUGGAAAUUUUUCUUGAGUGGAAAUAGACCUUUAGACUUUAGUGUCAAAAUUCAUCUCUUUGAUUAGAUUUUCGAUGCUCAGUAAUAGCUAGCUGUGUGAAAAAUCUAGAACAUAGCUCAGUAUUGCAUUUUUUCCCGGACACCCUAUAUACUAAUAUUAAAUAUGACUACAGUAUUCAUACUUUUUAAUACUUAAAUAAUGCGAAUGUUUACUACAUUUUCUAGCAAAGCCAUCGCAGCAUUAAUCCACAUGGCAUUGUUGCAAUUGGACCAGACCUUGACUAUUAUGCCCCACAUGGCCGAGAAGCGCUUGGACAGUAAUGCAAUGUGAAAUAUAGCUUUUAGCCUGGUUAUUUUAGCUAAUUGCUAUUGUUAUUUUAGCAUUAGUUCAAUACGUACAUUCAUUUUUUGUUAGCAGUAAAAUUUGAUGAUUAAAAUUGACUGCUUAAAGAUGCGGUACACUCCGUAUGUAAACAAAGGCUUUGUUUACAUUUCGGUAUCCAAAAUAUUGAAUUUUAUUCGACAACUAGUUAUAUUUUCAUGAUUCUAGAGUAUAGUAUAUCUAUAAGACACAACAUGCAGUCAAGCUUUGCAAGAACAUAAAAUGAAAUAAAAACCUAAAUAAACUGUUUGUAUAAUAAAAAGAGGGCUCCUUUGUGCACAUGCGCAGAUCGGACUGUACAGCAUCUUUAAAUCUGGUCUCAAUUUGAUUAUGUAACUCCGGACAACAGAACUACAGCCUGUAUGGCCCCUUACCUACCCUCGUCCCCAGGGCCAGAUUUAGGCAGUGGCGUAAGAAGGGGCCCUUUUGCCGCAUUGGGCGUGGGAAACUAUCUUGCAACAUUUGAGACCUGAGAUGUCUUUAUCAGGGGUGAAAAAAGUAUCGGACCAGCCCCGGAACCAAUGGUCCUAGGAAAUGCUUUGAGUCCCCGGAGAAUAUUUCCCCAAUGGAAUAUUUCUUCUGUGAAACACAUGUCUAUAAGUAUAACUGAAAAAUUAGUGAAGAUUCAGUUGCCGAUAAUUAUCGUAUUGUAAAAGAACAAUAACACAAAUAUGUAACAGUCAAGUCGAGCGUCACUCUGCUUUGAAAAUGACGUAGCCACGCUUAAAUACAAUUUCAAAACUAACAUGUUUCACCUUUCAAAACUGAUAAUUGUGGCCAAGCGAAUGACAGUGUCGUAUAAAAAAGAGAAAUAUAUUUCAAAACCUUACAUGCAAUGAUAGUAUAGCUAGCUGAGCAUGCAAUUAUUAGUAUUUAUUGUAGUACCAGUGUACCAAUUUCCCAAACAUCAUAAAAAUACAGUCUACGUAAUAUACAGGAUUUUACAGUAGUUUGAGUGUUACUUCUUUUUAAAAAGGCUUCCUAGUUUUAUAACCGAAAGAGAUAAAGACAAUUUUGUUACAGUUAUAAUAAAAUUUGGACGUGCGGACACGAGAUAUAUAGUAUCAGCAGAGAAGCUCUUAUUCUUAGGACGUUAUAGCUUUGUUUAGCAAAGAGCUUGUACUCGCAAAAAUCUUUGUUUGGUAAAGGCAGUAUUUAACUUUUACAUGUGAGAAUGAGUUAGGCGUAUAAAUGCAUGAUGUGGUUGCACGUCUUAAUUUUACACUUUAAU